UCACGGGAAGCGCGAGUCUUUUGGUUUCCGGCCCUUUGCUGGUGAGGACGGCGUAGAUAUGGUCGCUUCUUCUUGGCCUACUCCAAUGCGGAGGCCCAGGCGGCGGGUCAUGGCAUUUCAUUCGCUUUGGAAAAAGUGGAGGCUGCGUUGAUGCCAGAAGGGAUUGGAUGUAGAAACUGAGAAAUGGAAGAACAGAAAAGCUGUGUUCUCUUAAGUGAUGAUGACGUGAUUGAGUCCAUGUGCUAUUUUUGGACCCUUAAAAAAAAAAAAAACUUCUGGAAAUGUUAAGAGUACAAAUCUUCCAACUUCUGUAUUCAAAGACAGAUAAACAAUGUUGAAAAAUAUGAAGCUUGGUGCUCUACAGAUUAUCACUAAGGCCUUAGUGGAUUUAUGUUGUACACUGGACAUGGUUAUGAUCUGUUUUUACCUUAAGGUAUUAUCUACUGUUGAAGCUGUGUGUGGCCCACAGGUUUACUAUAUUUUUAUAUUUUUUUUGCUUGCCCACUAUAUGUUUAUGUACUUGAAAAAAUAAAAUUACUUGAAAACCUGUUUCAUUAUAA